rnacentral:ncRNA from 1 species
ACUGACGUAUUAUCUAACAAUUAAUACACGAAGCCGCCAUUGGCACGGUAUGAUACAGUCGGAGUACAGGAUGACCAGCCCGUAAGCAUAUCGAUAAGUCCCGAGA